CGGGGUAGAGUAACGCGUGAGGAACCUGCCUCAAAGAGGGGGGACAACAGUUGGAAACGACUGCUAAUACCGCAUAAGCCCACGGCUCGGCAUCGAGCAGAGGGAAAAGGAGCAAUCCGCUUUGAGAUGGCCUCGCGUCCGAUUAGCUAGUUGGUGAGGUAAUGGCCCACCAGGGCGACGAUCGGUAGCCGGACUGAGAGGUUGAACGGCCACAUUGGGACUGAGACACGGCCCAG
rnacentral:rRNA from 1 species